GACGAACGCUGGCGGCGUGCUUAACACACGCAGGUCGAACGGGCCUUGUCCCCUUUUUUUUUGGGGGUGGGGUUAGUGGCGAACGGGUGAGUAACACGUGAGUAACCUGCCCCUCACUUCUGGAUAACCGCUUGAAAGGGUGGCUAAUACGGGGUGUUCUGGCCUGCUCGCAUGGGUGGGUUUGGAAAGAUUCGACCGGUUUUGGUUGUUUUGGUGGGGGAUGGGCUCGCGGCCUAUCAGCUUGUUGGGGGGGGGAUGGCCUGCCAAGGCUUUGACGGGUAGCCGGCCUGAGAGGGUGGGCGGUCACACUGGGACUGAGACACGGCCCAGACUCCUACGGGAGGCAGCAGUGGGGAAUAUUGCACAAUGGGCGCAAGCCUGAUGCAGCGACGCCGCGUGAGGGAUGGAGGCCUUCGGGUUGUGAACCUCUUUCGCCAGUGAAGAAGGUCCUGCUCUUUGUGGUGGGGUUGACGGUAGCUGGGUUAAUGAAGCGCCGGCUAACUACGUG
rnacentral:rRNA from 1 species